rnacentral:rRNA from 1 species
CCCUUAGAUGUUCUGGGCCGCACGCGCGCUACACUGACGAAGUCAGCGAGCAUGUCCUACGCCGACAGGUGCGGGGAAUCUUGUCAAACUUCGUCGUGAUGGGGAUUGAUUAUUGAAAUUCUUGAUCAUCAACGAGGAAUUCCUAGUAAGCGCAAGUCAGCAGCUUGCGUUGAUUACGUCCCUGCCCUUUGUACACACCGCCCGUCGCUACUACCGAUUGAAUGGUUUAGUGUGAUCUUCGGAUUGGCGCCACUGCGGCUCAGCAAUGGGCUCGGUGGAUGCCGAAAAGUUGAUCAAACUUGAUCAUUUAGAGGAAGUAAAAGUCGUAACA